rnacentral:rRNA from 1 species
ACGUGAUCUGAGUUCAGACCGGAGUAAUCCAGGUCAGUUUCUAUCUAUAAAGGGCUUUUUCUAGUACGAAAGGACCGAAAAAGCAUGGCCAAUGACCCAUUAAGCCAUAUUAAUAACUUAUGACUUCAACUUAAUUAUUUAAAAGCCUCUAAUUAUACUCAAGAUAAGAGAA